GCCUGCGCUCAGUGCGCCGCAGAUGCAUGUGCGCGUGCACGAGGAGCGGGCGGGAGCGCGCCGUGUUGACGGACUGGAGAGGCGACAUGUCCACCAGAGCCGCUACGCAGCUGAACAACAAUGAAGAACCAGGACUCAACGGGUCCUGGGUGGAGCUGGAGAUGAACGGAAACACUCAGCAGCAGAACCCCAGCUUGCCCUCGCUGCUGGGGAACGGGAACCAAGGCGAGUCCCAGGCUUCACAGGCCCUGGAGGCCGUGCAGGAGGAAGAGGAGGUCCUGACAGGAGGACUGGAGCACGUGCCUUCCUCCUCCUCUAUCCAUAACGGAGACAUGGAGAAAAUCCUACUGGACGCCCAGCACGAGUCCAGCCCCAGCAGCUCGUCCUGUAACAGCCCCCCACGACCACACAGUCCUGACCAGGAUGAGGGGCAGAUCACGUUCGAUGUGGAGAUGCCCAGCGAGAGAGACUGUCAGUCAGAAGAUGAUAGUCUGGAGAAGGACAAAGAGGAUGAUAUCCUCAUGAAUAAAGGGGAGAGCUGGGUGGCAGACUGGUCCAGUCGACCAGAGAACAUUCCCCCAAAGGAAUUCCACUUCCGCCACCCAAAGCGUUCUGGGUCGGUGUCUCUGAGCAUGAGAAAGACAGGUGCUAUGAAGAAAGGGGGCGUGUUCUCCGCCGAGUUCCUCAAAGUGUUCAUGCCCUCGCUGCUGCUCACCCACAUCCUGGCUCUGGGACUGGGGGUCUACAUUGGGAAGAGGUUGACCACACCCUCCACCAGCUCAUUUUAAACCUGGACAGACCCCAGUGCCUGGACGCCCCAUCAUGAGCAACGGUGGCACAGCAGUGGCCAAUCGUGUGAUGAUUCCUCUCUCUCUCUCUUUCUCAUUCUCUCCCCCUCUCUGUCUUUCUCUUUAUUGUUUCUUUGAGCCCACAGUCCUGGUUUCCCAUCACACCCUCUGCUGGGAGACAUUGUGCUUGUUGACCUUUGGCUGUGUCGCAGUUUCUUGCCCUCUAACGCCGUGGCUUACUAACACGUUUUAGAUGUUUUUAUUUGGACAUGUAGUGAAUUAUUCACUGACUUUUAUUUUUCAUGAAACGCUAUUACAUAAGCUAGAGCCCCACUACAACCGCAGCCAUAUUACCCUUUUAUUUCUGCAUGACGCACUUCAUAUGCAACUGAUACAGAGUCUGGAUGUGAGCGGGAAUCUUGAGAGUAUAUUGACUCUUAAUAGGAAAUUUAGUUUGUUCAAAAAUGUGGGUCGUGAUAUUUUUUUCUAGAGAGAUGAUUUUGCUCAUUAUGCUGAGCAAUUGAAUUCAUUCACUUCCCUUCCUGAGCGACAGCAUCAAAAACGCAUGUUAGUCAUAGGAGAACGACGACUGUUGAAAGACAGACCAAGUCAUUCUUUACAAAUGUUAGUGCACUCGCUGCAUUGCAUUGGACUGUUACGACAGUUAUCUUGAGACUUAUAUUGCAUAGAAUGUAAACCUUUAGAGGUUCCUCUCGGUUCUGUAUUAGGCCCUUUUCUGUUUGCUCUUCUGUAAAGAUCCAAUAUGACAGGCACAAAACUGAAGCAUCAAUUUAUAGCAGCUUUACAGUAUGAAAAUAUAUAAUGAACAAUACAUGUUUUUCUAAUCGAAAGACCUUAAGCUAAAGAGAUCAGUAUGGACGUACAUCUGUUUAAGAGCCACACUGGUCAGGUUAGUCAUUUUUGUGAGUUACUAGGGAAGCUAAGCACACACAAACUCACACGCUCUGGUUUGCCUUGAUGCAUAUCCUGCUUGCAGAAGUUUCUGACUGUGUAUCUCAGUGCCAAAGGGUUUCAAUGAGUCGCUUGCACCUCUCGUAGACUCAGUCUGGUCUGAGUGGGUUAUUGAUCCUGUUUCGACAACACCUUACAAAGGCCUUUGGUUUUACUGUGAACAGCCUGUGGAUGUUAGGCAUAGUGUUGCAAUAGUUGUGUAUUAUACACUGUUGUGCGUACUUUUGUCAAACAGAUCCACACUCCGUGUACAUAUUUAUAUGCAAUGUGGUGUAGUUUUACAGAUAAAACUACUCAUUUAGAAGACUUUAACAGGUUUACACUCACUCAUUUACAGAUUAAAUUUGUCACGAACAUGUCCAGGUCAUAUUUCAACCCAUCUGAGUGAUUAUAUACCAUUAAGACAUCCGAGGCAUUAUUUUCAUAACAAUUAAGCACAUUGUCUCAUUACCAUAAUUGUAAAAAUUAUUUCUAUUUUACCACAUUUAUACAUCAUGGUUAAGUUGGUUGCACCGCCCUUGAAUUUAUACAGCUUUUGAUUGAAAACAAUAAAAUAAAAAAUCGUAUAUGAGUGAAUUUUCAGUUCAAAAAUCAUGAAAAACUAUUUAUAUUUUAUUUUAAGUAUUUUAAGAAAUUAUAUAUAAUUUUAUUUAUUAUUAUUUUAUUUUAUUAAUAUUUUUACCUUUGAUUUUUUUGGGUAAAAAAAGAUAACCUGGACAUUUUCUUGACGGGUUUUAUAAUUCACCCUCACAGUAUCUAAUAACGCUUCUACUAACCAAAGUGUUUCAUACAAAAAACUAACAGUUAAAUAGUCAAGCGCUACCCAAAGCGGUUUACAGGUCACCCUUUGCAUUAAAGCCGUCUGUGUCAUUGUGCCACACUUCACCUCUUUACUGUGUUUUCGUGCUUUUUUCUCUCUCAGAGGGGGAGAGGAAUACAAGAGGCCAAUUUAGUGUCACUUCAACCAUGCCUCGACUUUUAUUUGCACCUUUUCUGAGCCCCAUUGCAUGUGUGUGUUCAGAAAAUUCACAUCAGGACGCGACGGCGAUGAAGUGUUCCCCUGUGUGGGGCGGAAUGAGAACUGUGAACGGAAUAGCUAUAGCUUAGUCAGAAACGAUAAACUAGCCCUGCCUGGUCUGUGUCGGGUCGGAUCACCAUAAGAGAUGUUUUACGCACAGUAUGAUGUUUUUCUUCUCUGUUAUAUCUCUUUUGUUGUUUUGAGUUUUUGCUUUAAUCAUGAGUGUGGAUACGGGAGGGUGGGGCCCUUGUGAUUGACAGCAACACCAUGUGUUUCGUUUGAAUUCCAAUAGCGACUGGAGUGAUGAAGCAAUGACAAGUAGUUUCUUGUAUUUCACUGGUAUUGGAGGAAAAGUGAACUGAUAUUAAAAUAUAACCUGACAUUCA